AUGAAACUUGGGAGAAUUGAUGCUAGAACUUGUUCUAUGCGCUUUUCCCUUAAUCCAUACACACCUGUGCACUUUGAAAGGAGAGAACGGCUUUUAACGGCUGGUCUGUCCUUUCUCAUACAAACCCUUCACAAAUAUCAACCUAUAUCUUUAACAACAUUCGUCUGAUAACAUAUUAUGAAUAUACUUAAUUCAAAAUA
rnacentral:misc_RNA from 1 species